UCUAUCGCUUGAUGCAGGAUUGCGUUGUUCGAACAAACAGGAAUUGGAAAGAAUGCCAACCAGAGGUAUACGCUUUGAGGGAAUGUUUUGAAAAGAGAAAGAACAAGCAAGGAAAGUAGAAUUUUGCAGAGGUGGAACUUUUUUUAGUUGGCAAUAAGGUUAUCCUCUGUGCUUCCUAGUUAUUCUUGGUGGUUACUGUACAGACACUUCCUCCUAAAAUGAAUGUUUUUGGAGUAUAGUUCAAUUGAAGGUGAUUGAGAUUGAUCUUGGGGA